UACGAAGGGGGCUAGCGUUGUUCGGAAUUACUGGGCGUAAAGCGUGCGCAGGCGGCUUCUCAAGUCAGGGGUGAAAGCCCAGAGCUCAACUCUGGAAUUGCCUUUGAGACUGAGUGGCUUGAGUACGAGAGAGGUGAGUGGAAUUCCCAGUGUAGAGGUGAAAUUCGUAGAUAUUGGGGAGAACACCGGUGGCGAAGGCGGCUCACUGGCCCGAUACUGACGCUGAGGCACGAAAGCGUGGGGAGCAAACAGG
rnacentral:rRNA from 1 species